AAAACCUCGACUUCGGAAGGGGUGUAUUUAUUAGAUAAAAAACCAAUGCCCUUCGGGGCUCCUUGGUGAUUCAUGAUAACUCAACGAAUCGCAUGGCCUUGCGCCGGCGAUGGUUCAUUCAAAUUUCUGCCCUAUCAACUUUCGAUGGUAGAAUAGAGGUCUACCAUGGUCUUUACGGGUAACGGCGAAUCAGGGUUCGAUUCCGGAGAGGGAGCCUGAGAAACGUAAGUUUUAUUAUUAUCUUUUUUAUCUUUAACUAAUAUCUUUUUUAGGGCUACCACAUCCAAGGAAGGCAGCAGGCGCGCAAAUUACCCAAUCCCGACACGGGGAGGUAGUGACAAUAAAUACUGAUACAGGGCUCUUUUGGGUCUUGUAAUUGGAAUGAGUACAAUCUAAAUCCCUUAACGAGGAACAAUUGGAGGGCAAGUCUGGUGAACGAUCAGUGGUUCCACAAUUCUGCUGACGCCAGAGAUAGUAGGGGCCUCCGGCGGAGGUUUACGCCUGCUAGUCGAGCAUCCGUCACAGUGAUGGGUGGAUGCCGGCGACACAACCUGGAUCGGGGAAGCCUAACGACGAAAGUCCAGGGUAAUCCCGAGCGGAGCCCCGAGGAAGUGAUUCUUCGGGAGCCCGUGUAGAGCGCGCAAAGGUGUGGGUCAGACUCCGGGCGGAGCUGACUUAAGGGACGUGCCUUCCCCUUCGAAAGAAUGUCCUUAGCUGGAGCACCCAUCAUGUAAAGGCUAGGGAGGGCAACGGUCGUGACCGUGCCUGGAACAGCAUAUGUAGCGAUGUCCGACAUGUGGCUUCAAAAGAACAAUACUCAGAAUCGACCCCGCGAGCAUAAGGAUGAUAUCUCUUGGCAGGCCCAGUGAGUGUGGGGUCCGGUCAGCUAUAUUAUGAUAUAUGAGUAUGCCUAGAAGCCAAUGCCGGAUGAUGCUAGAUAAUUUGUAUGAGGCCAGCAGCCGCGGUAAUUCCAGCUCCAAUAGCGUAUAUUAAAGUUGUUGCCGUUAAAAAGCUCGUAGUUGAACUUUGGGCCUGGCUGAUCUGUCCUCCUAAUCGAGCGCACGGAUUCGGUCGGGCCUUUCCUUCUGGGGAGCCCGAUGUCCUUCACUGGG
rnacentral:rRNA from 1 species